GUAUGAGCCACUGUGCCCAGCCUGAAAUUCUCAAGAGUGGCUGAAAACUAUAAAGUAUAAUCUCAGUCCAUUUUAGCAGAAUAUAUGAUUGCUUCCUGUAAGUAGGGUUGAAAGGGGUAUUUAUAGAAAAAAAAUCAACAACAAAAUCGAAUGCUUGUCUAUGGAAAAUUCCCAUUAAAACGAUAGGCGUUCCUCUCAGGUACUAAGAUUCCUCAGGUAACUGCCUGAGGUCCUGGGGCAUCCAGGUAAUCAUAGAUCAUAAUUUCUCCUCACCAGUUUGCAUGUUUCAUUUAGGUAUUCUCCAAGGAGAGGGGUCCUUUUAAAGAAUGAGUACCAAGCAUCCACUCUAAAAGGAAGAUGGAGAAAACCAGUGGAAGGCCUUCCUGUUGGGUAUCAUGUGGAUUUGCCCUUGACUCUUGGGUUCACUCAGAGUCCUCUGGUGUCCCGUUUCCAGCUGAGCUGUGCAUGCACCCUGGGGAUUCAGUGGAAGAGGUGACAUCUGCUGACCCUCAGUCAUUAAUCAAGCUGCCUGCGCAGAACCAUUUCCCAAGCAGGGCUGCAGCUCUUGGGAGCUGCUGAAUCAAAUGGCGAAAGGCAAGAGCUUAUGCCCUGUCCCUGAGUUCUUGAGAGGAAUUAGAUGAUGGAGAUGGGAGGGAGUUGAUGGUAGAUAUGAGAGUAAAGAAAAGGGACUUGAGGGAAGCUGAAUUGAGGGGAUACGGCUGUCCUUUUAAUUGUGGGAAUUUUGGGGUACAUAUUCAUCCUUCAUACUGACUGAUCAAACGACAAUCCAUUGACUUCAAUACUGUGUUUGGUUGAAAAGGGCUUACCAGAAGACCUGUACCUUCAGCCUGAGGCUGCCUUGUGACAUAGGGUGCCAUCUUCCUCCUCCUUAACUCUAGAGGCAGCUUGCCCUUGGCUGUUUUCUGAAGGGGACCUUUGAAUCCCAAGGGUGGAGGGUGUGGCCUUUGAGUUGUAACUACCGAGUAGCAACUCGUUACUUGGUAGCAAUUUGCUGCCAAACACCUGUCUUGCUUCCAGGAUCAAUCUGAAUCCAGCAGUGCUGAGAAAACCCAAGAACUACAUGGCUGACAUUUCCCAUCAGAGAGCUAACAGGGCCCCUGGCUUUGCCUUCCCGCCCACCAGCCCUGGUUAAUGGAGCUUUUGUUCUGCCUGAUGCUGCCUUGCUAAUCAGAGUGUAUCAUAUGGGAGCUAUCAGGAGAGUGGGGCCUGCUUCAAGAAGGAACACAGGUUGCCUUUAGAGUUGGCUACAAAACUUAGAGCUUGGUGAUGGCUCAGGCACAAAAGAGCUGGCUGUACUUGAGGCUGAUUUCCAUUCUACCUGUGACUAUUACGUUCAAGGUAGUGAACCCUUGAAGCCUCUGGCAUCCUGAUCCCGUAAUUACUGCAGAGAAAAGAGGUAAAUCAAGAUCUGCUUGGGAAACAGCAUCAUCAUCAGUUCUGGCAUGUGCAUCUAAGCAAGCCGUGCCUCUCAGGAAGGAUCUCACUCUCUGUUGUAACUGUAUCAUACCUUUUACAAAAAGUCACUUUGAGGUCACUUUUUUUUUGUCCAGUAUUUCAAUACAUUAAAUGCAAUUACUUCAUUGUUGAUUUACCUGUCAUUA